rnacentral:rRNA from 1 species
UACGUAGGUGGCAAGCGUUAUCCGGAAUUAUUGGGCGUAAAGCGCGCGCAGGCGGCUGGCCAAGUCCGAUGUGAAAGCUUCCGGCUUAACUGGAAAAUUGCAUCGGAAACUGGUCGGCUUGAAGGUGGGAGAGGGUAGCGGAAUUCCCGGUGUAGUGGUGAAAUGCGUAGAUAUCGGGAGGAACACCAGUGGCGAAGGCGGCUACCUGGCCCAUUCUUGACGCUGAGGCGCGAAAGCUAGGGGAGCGAACGGG